rnacentral:rRNA from 1 species
CCCUUAGAUGUUCUGGGCAGCACGCGCGCUACAAUGGUCUUCGCAAACGGAUGCAUUCUCGAAGGAGAAUGCCAAUCUUGAAUCUAUGCCUUGGUCGGGACAGUUGCUUGCAAUUUUUCGACUCGAACCAGGAAUUCCUUGUAAUCGUGAUUCAUCACAUCACGAUGAAUACGUCCCUGCCCUUUGUACACACCGCCCGUCGCUCCUACCGAUCGAAGAGUUAGGUGAAUUGUUUUGAUCGAUAAGAUUUGACUAUGGUCAACUCUCGUUGUGAAAUUCUGUGAAUCUGACUGUUUAGAGGAAGGAAAAGUCGUAACA